GCCAGCGUAGCUCAGUCGGCAGAGCAAUCGCUUCGUAAGCGAUGGGUCGGGGGUUCGAGUCCCCCCGCUGGCUCCA
rnacentral:tRNA from 1 species